rnacentral:rRNA from 1 species
UUAAAUUGAAGAGUUUGAUCAUGGCUCAGAUUGAACGCUGGCGGCAGGCCUAACACAUGCAAGUCGAACGGUAACAGGAAACAGCUUGCUGUUUCGCUGACGAGUGGCGGACGGGUGAG